rnacentral:rRNA from 1 species
CGGACGGGUGAGUAAUGUCUGGGAAACUGCCCGAUGGAGGGGGAUAACACUGGAAACGGUAGCUAAUACCGCAUAACGUCGCAAGACCAAAGAGGGGGACCUUCGGGCCUCUUGCCAUCGGAUGUGCCCAGAUGGGAUUAGCUAGUAGGUGGGGUAACGGCUCACCUAGGCGACGAUCCCUAGCUGGUCUGAGAGGAUGACCAGCCACACUGGAACUGAGACACGGUCCAG